CAAAAGUAGAAUCAACAGUGGCGGGUUUACGGAUUUGCCGCCUCUGAAUUUUUAUACCUAAGUUCUAACUUUUUGAUUCACGAUCUAUCAUUUUUGUUGAAUAUUCAUUUCAAUUUACUCCAAUUUUCGAAGUUUGUACUUUGUGUGUGUAUAAUAAUUUUUUGUCAAUUAUUUAGAUAAAAAAAAAUUAUUAAGUUCAAUAGCAGAAUAGCAAUUUCGUGUUUGUCGCCAGAUUGAUGUUUGCCUCUUGUGUUCGUGUUUGUUUUUAUUUUUUUGCUGGUUCGAAUAGUUGAAUUUAGCCGAGGCUAAAUUUAAAAAUAUGUGUCAAUGAUAUAUCGCGCCAGAACAUAUGUAGUUCCGAUUUUUGUUUUAAUCCAUUGACUGACAUACGUCGAAACCGUUUGAUUAUUCAUCAUUUUUACUAACUAUUUUAAAUAUUUAUUUUAUUAAUUGUAUGAUGAGUGAGAACCGCACCGCAGAGUUUAUAGAUGCUAAAAACUUACCUUAGUUAGAAAAAAACGUAUUCCAAAUCCCGAUCAAGUAGCGUUUAAGAGGUAAUUUAUAAACCGAAUGUACCUCAAACGCAUGCACGAAAUACACUUUACUGACGAGAUUUGCAGCAUUAGCAUAGAAGAGAUAACUGUUACACACCAGUCUACAAUGACUAAGACAAGCUUUACAGUCCUUUUUGUAUUUUUCUUAUUCGUGAAGGAGUGGGGAGAGAUGGAUCCCUAUUGGUCGAAAUGAGGUCCUACCCGAAUGGAGUUUUUCUUAGAAAGAAUAACAAUAGUAUUUACCUACAAUCUCUCUGUGUGUCAUCUUACCGUUCACAUUUACAAAUUAGAAAGUAAUUAUGUACAAAUUCGAGUCAGAAGACAUUAGAGAGAAUUUGUCGAACCUUAUGUUGAUAUUGUUAUCUGAUGAUGGUAAUUGUAAUUAUUUUUAUGAAUAAAGUUACUUACAUUUAUUUUCAAAUUA